GCUGUGCCUGCUCCCGAAGCUCAGUGAUUAUUUCACUGCUUCCCACUAUGGCUCAAGAGUGAAGAAGUUUAAGCUCUUGCAGGUUGUGGUGCUGGCUGGAGUUCUGCUAAAGCUACUCCGGGUGCAAUGAAUUGCAGCAGUGAAGCCAUCAGUGAUUUCCUGGCCCAGUGAAAAUCCAAGAUUUUGAUGCUAAUUAUAGAUUUCACCCAUUAUUUUCUCUACUAUAUGGUUUUGGAGGACUCAGGAGCACAUGAAACAACAUUCCACAUCUUAGACAAGUGCUGCUGCUGCAGCCCUGCUUGUUCCCCAGUGCCCAGGCAGCUCCCAGAACUGCCAUCAGCUCUGCUCAUGCCCGUAGUGCCCACACACUCAGUGGGACUUGUUUACAGAGAUAAAAGGAAGUUUUUAAACCAGCAGUCAAUCUAUGCCUGAAGCCACCACCACCUCAGAGAACUCACAACAAUCCCUCUUGUAGACACUGCAGCUCUUCCCAAGAGAACAAGUGGGAAGGUGGAACGAGUUUGGCUGUCACACAAGCCCUGAGGAUGGCAUGUCACUUAUUCACUCUGAAGUCCGUGUGUCUGUCACCGUGACUGAUCCCUCCGGCCGCUCCAUUCGCAGCGAUUGUUCCCGUGCUUGGGUCGCUCAGCCACUGGAUGUCACUGUUAGUCUGAGCACACAAACUCAAACGGCAUUUGUUUGGCAUUAGAAAAUGUUUAGAGACAUGAAAUGAUGUCUUUAAACAUCAUCGGGAUGAAACUAAGAGCACUGCAGAGGGAUCAUCUCUAUAUGCUGAAAGCAUUUCUCACAAGUUGAUAGUGGUUAAAGCCAGAAGAGCCAUUUCUCCAAAGGAUUAGAAAAUAUGCUCUGGCCAAGUGACUGUAAGGUGUGAGCACAACCUCACAACGAGAAUAAUAUCAGGGAACAAGUACAAGGUAAUGGAGAAUCCAUCCUUGGAGAAGGCAAAGAGUGUAAAAUGAAAAAUCCAGAAAAUAAUAGUAAUAAAAGCAAUAAUGAUAAUUAAUAAUCCAGCUCUAGGCUGAAUGCUCCCUGUGCUGCAGAAAAGCCCCAGCAGCCAGGAAACCCCUCAGAGCAGCUCUGAGUCGGUGCCACCUCUGCCAUGACACAGCUGUGAGCCACAUCUGCCUGCACCUGACAAACACUGACAGGGAAUAAGAACAGACCUUUCAAAGAGAAGUAUUUGAAGAAAAGUCAUUUGAAGCAAUUUUACAAAAAAGGAUGACUGAUUUGGUUUACAGUUUUAAAUAAUUAUUUAAAAUAAUUACAUUGCUCUGAACCAAUACUGUAAUUUUAACACAGAUAUAAUCACUGCAAAUUACAUUAAGAGCUUGUCUACAGACAAAUUGCAUUGCUGUGGUUAUAAUGGGAUUGUUGAAGCUCAGCAAAUCCCCAAAUCCAGGUAUGGCUGAAAUCACAGAAAAGGAAGGGAAAGAAGUGUACCAAACCUCUCAACCUUUUUGGGCUUACAUUGACAUGGCUUUUUCAGUCAAAAGAACUCCUACCUAACCAAGAGGAUUGAACUGGAACAAAAGCAAGUGAUACACCAUCCUGAAACACAGAACUGUGAUGGCAGCAAUGCUGAAAUUUUCAUACAUUUGAACUUGAACAGAUCUAGAGGUCUUGGGUACCGAAGCUAAUGGUGAAAUUCCCUCUUACUUAAGUGGGAACAGCAGAGUUUGGAGCAGUAACUACCUGUACCAGGUUCUGCCUCCAAAGCUGAAAACUAGAAAUGGGAAGUGACCUAAAUAUUCAAAAAUUACUUAGUAAGUGUUAGUGAGUCUAUUUUUGAGUGGGUAUCUGCAGACUCCUCAAAGAAACUUGAUCACCAGAGAUGAAGCCUUAGCACACAGCACCUUUUAAUGGAUUUCAGUUUGAGGCACAUGGAACCACUAAUCACUUCAGUGAAAAAUUGGGUCAGAGUUAGCCCCAUCUUCCCCAAAGUGCUACAGAAGUACAUUUAAGUGUAUAUAUAUUUAUAUAUAAUUUUGUACUCUGAUUAGAAGAGAUGGCAAAGUAUAGUGCUGAAAUCCUUUUGGUUAUUCACUAAGGGACAGCAAUAAAAACACCAUCCACGGGGCCUUUCUUGCCAAGUCCACUUUCAACCCUGUUCUCAAUAGAUAAUAAAAUCUGUAUUUAUUAGUGAGUCCAAAACCCCUCUACAAUUCCUAAUGCACUAGGCAGGGACAGUGCUAUUUUGUACCUGUUAAUUAGCAGGUGCAACAUGAAGUAAGCAAAUGCAUUGGUAUGUUAUUUAUGGCUGCACAGACCUGUAAAUAAGAAGACUGGGAUAAAUAAAGGUGUAUUUUUUCCCACCGAUAUUUCCAAACUGAUUCAUUGUGUUUUACCACAAGUCCAUAUUUGUAGUUUAAGCCAAGGCCAGUUUGUGGACGGCCCCUUGGUCAGUGCAGCUCCCUGGGCAGUGCUGGCCAUGGGGCCCAGGCUGGCUGGGAGCACGAGCUGUGCUCCUGUGCUGCUCGAGCAGCAGCCCUUAGGUUCCAUUUUCAGAUGUUGUUCAUCACUAAUGCCUAAAGGUGACACGCUCACUAAACAGGCCUGCUGCAAACAAUACCAGAUAAGACAUAUUGGAUUACCCAGGCCACAUCUCCAAAUGCCACAGAAAUGAAUGCCAAACGCUGUGGGGUUUGUCACUUGCAGCAUGCAGCAGCCUUUCCAUUAUGCAUUGCCUGAUCCUUUGCCAGAUUUCUUCAGGAAAACCAAGUGCUAGGGUGAAUGGGAAGAGCUUGUCUGGAGGUCACACUGUGGGAGCUGGGAAGGAGGAGACUGCUGUUCCAUUCCUCACUUGCC